rnacentral:rRNA from 1 species
CCUACGGGAGGCAGCAGUGAGGAAUAUUGGUCAAUGGGCGCGAGCCUGAACCAGCCAAGUAGCGUGAAGGAUGACUGCCCUACGGGUUGUAAACUUCUUUUAUAAGGGAAUAAAGUGAGGCACGUGUGCCGUUUUGAAUGUACUUUAUGAAUAAGGAUCGGCUAACUCCGUGCCAGCAGCCGCGGUAAUACGGAGGAUCCGAGCGUUAUCCGGAUUUAUUGGGUUUAAAGGGAGCGUAGAUGGGUUGUUAAGUCAGUUGUGAAAGUUUGCGGCUCAACCGUAAAAUUGCAAUUGAUACUGGCAGUCUUGAGUACAGUAGAGGUAGGCGGAAUUCGUGGUGUAGCGGUGAAAUGCUUAGAUAUCACGAAGAACCCCGAUUGCGAAGGCAGCGUACUGAACUGCCACUGACGCUGAUGCUCGAAAGUGUGGGUAUCAAACAGGAUUAGAUACCCUAGUAGUC